GGGUUGUGAGGUUAAGCGACUAAGCGUACACGGUGGAUGCCCUGGCAGUCAGAGGCGAUGAAGGGCGUACUAAUCUGCGAUAAGCGCCGGUAAGGUGAUAUGAACCGUUAUAACCGGCGAUACCCGAAUGGGGAAACCCAGUGUGAUUCGUCACACUAUCAUUAACUGAAUCCAUAGGUUAAUGAGGCGAACCGGGGGAACUGAAACAUCUAAGUACCCCGAGGAAAAGAAAUCAACCGAGAUUCCCCCAGUAGCGGCGAGCGAACGGGGAGGAGCCCAGAGCCUGAAUCAGCAUGUGUGUUAGUGGAAGCGUCUGGAAAGGCGCGCGAUACAGGGUGACAGCCCCGUACACAAAAGCGCAUGUGCUGUGAGCUCGAUGAGUAGGGCGGGACACGUGGUAUCCUGUCUGAAUAUGGGGGGACCAUCCUCCAAGGCUAAAUACUCCUGACUGACCGAUAGUGAACCAGUACCGUGAGGGAAAGGCGAAAAGAACCCCGGCGAGGGGAGUGAAAAAGAACCUGAAACCGUGUACGUACAAGCAGUGGGAGCCCCACCACCAAAGCAUUUGCUGUACCGCGUUGACGGAGCGAAGCGACGUCAAACCGAUAAAACAGCAGUGUAAAGUGAGCCGCAGGGCGCUUUGCGCGACAGCGCAAAGGCAGGCGGUUUCGCGUAGCGAAAGCGAAUGCUUUGGGGUGGGGUGACUGCGUACCUUUUGUAUAAUGGGUCAGCGACUUAUAUUCUGUAGCAAGGUUAACCGAAUAGGGGAGCCGGAGGGAAACCGAGUCUUAAU
rnacentral:rRNA from 1 species